rfam:Triticum aestivum genome assembly, contig: Triticum_aestivum_CS42_TGACv1_scaffold_224129_3B
CAUGUACUCCCUCCGUUCAGAAUUACUUGUCGCAGAAAUGGAUGUAUCUAGAUGUAUUUUAGUUCUAAAUAUAUCUAUUUCCGAGACAAGUAAUUCCGAACGGAGGGAGUACUCA